AAGGGUAAUGGAAAUUCAACCAAGAGAAGGGGAGCAGAACAGAUUAAAGUCUACAAAGUAGAUGGAAAGAUAACUCAAGAAAAUUGUUAAAAUCAGAUUCAACAUCAAAACUUUCUUGCAACAAGUGAUAAAUGAAGUUGUCAAACUCAUCAAUUGUAGCUACUUUUUCUUAAUAACAAUCGGGCAACUUCUGAAUAGGAUCCAAAACAGCAUCAAAUCAAAUGCCUCUUUCACUGGUCAGAAGGCAAGCUUUUAAUAAUAUCAGAAUCACCUGGGUCAAUAUUUCUCAAGCAAGAAAACACGGAAAUACUUGCCACUAGCAAUUUCCAAGUUAAUAUUGUUUCCAUUGUAAUGGUCGACGCCGACCUUUGCAAGCAUGUCAUAGUACUCAAUCUCCGAUUUUCUGAGCGGUGGGCAAUUG
rnacentral:misc_RNA from 1 species